rnacentral:rRNA from 1 species
UCGAACGAGAAGCCCGCAAGGGUGAGUAAAGUGGCGUACGGGUGAGUAACACGUGGGUAAUCUACCUUUUGGUGGGGAAUAACCCUGGGAAACCGGGGCUAACACCGCAUAAGCUCGACAGAGGAAAAGAGAAAUCUGCCGAAAGAGGAGCCCGCGGCUGAUUAGCUAGUUGGUGAGGUAAAGGCUCACCAAGGCGAAGAUCGGUAGCCGGCCUGAGAGGGCACACGGCCACACUGGCACUGAAACACGGGCCAGACUCCUACGGGAGGCAGCAGUGGGGAAUCUUGCACAAUGGGGGAAACCCUGAUGCAGCGACGCCGCGUGAGCGAUGAAGCCCUUCGGGGUGUAAAGCUCUUUCGGCAGGAACGAUAAUGACGGUACCUGAAGAAGAAGCUGCGGCUAACUACGUGCCAGCAGCCGCGGUAAUACGUAGGCAGCGAGCGUUG